rnacentral:rRNA from 1 species
AUUGAACGCUGGCGGCGUGCUUAACACAUGCAAGUCGAGCGGUAAGGCCCUUUCGGGGGUACACGAGCGGCGAACGGGUGAGUAACACGUGGGUGACCUGCCCUCAGCUCUGGGAUAAGCCUGGGAAACUGGGUCUAAUACUGGAUAUGACUCCACGGUGCAUGUCGUGGGGUGGAAAGCCUUGUGCGGCUGAGGAUGGGCCCGCGGCCUAUCAGCUUGUUGGUGGGGUGAUGGCCUACCAAGGCGACGACGGGUAGCCGGCCUGAGAGGGCGACCGGCCACACUGGGACUGAGACACGGCCCAGACUCCUACGGGAGGCAGCAGUGGGGAAUCUUGCGCAAUGGGCGAAAGCCUGACGCAGCGACGCCGCGUGAGGGAUGACGGCC